rnacentral:tRNA from 1 species
UGGGUUAUCGUUCAACUGGCAGGACGACGGAUUCUGACUCCGUUAAUCAAGGUUCAAAUCCUUGUAACCCAGCCA